UACAGAGGUGGCAAGCGUUGUUCGGAAUUACUGGGCGUAAAGGGCGCGUAGGCGGCCCUCUAAGUCAGACGUGAAAUCCCCCGGCUUAACCUGGGAACUGCGUCUGAUACUGGGAGGCUAGAGUAUGGGAGAGGGAUGUAGAAUUCCAGGUGUAGCGGUGAAAUGCGUAGAUAUCUGGAGGAAUACCGGUGGCGAAGGCGGCAUCCUGGACCAUUACUGACGCUGAGGCGCGAAAGCUAGGGGAGCAAACGGGG
rnacentral:rRNA from 1 species